UCCUAGCCCCGAUUGCAGCGAAAAUCCUUUUUUUCGCAGCGACGCUAAUAUGCUGUCAUGCUGAGGCACGAAGCAUCUGUGACAGAUAAGCAGAUGCUUCGUGCCUCAGCAUGACAAAAGCAAAAAAAGAUUGUGCCAAAAGCGGGACCAACA
rnacentral:sRNA from 1 species